rnacentral:lncRNA from 1 species
UUUUUUUCAUGAUGGCUGCCCCCAAGGGUCUUCUGCUGGUUGCUCUAGUCUUGCUACUUGGUGCUUUGGGGAGGAUGCACAAGUGGCAGGUCCGAUGACAGGUGCUCCAACACCUUGUCCCCGGCCCCCCCUUACCAAACAAACAUAAUAAAGCAAAUAGACAACUGUCCUGGUAAACCAGGCUCCAAAGAGUUAAAGAAACCAAAGACUAAAUUCUUGGACUUACAGAAUAGCAGAUAAGAAAAGAAAGAACUUGCUGAAAAGCUGAAACUAAGACUGUGCCCCGAAGAGUAAGAAACCAGUAACAGAAAUUCUUGAGUUUGCAGGAUAGCAGAUAAGAAAAGAAACAGCUUGCCGAAACACGGACACUCCCUGCACUUACGAGAUCAAGAAAAAAACUGGCUGAUGGCCGGGCCCGGUGCCUCAAGCCUGUAACCCCAGCACUUUGGGAGGCCAAGGUUCUCACUCUGUCACCCAGGCUAAAGUGCAGUGGU